rnacentral:rRNA from 1 species
AUUGAACGCUGGCGGCAUGCUUUACACAUGCAAGUCGAACGGUAACAGGGAGCUUGCUCCGCUGACGAGUGGCGAACGGGUGAGUAAUGCGUCGGAACGUGCCGAGUAGUGGGGGAUAACGCAUCGAAAGGUGUGCUAAUACCGCAUACGUACUGAGGUAGAAAGUGGGGGACCUUCGGGCCUCACGCUGUUCGAGCGGCCGACGUCUGAUUAGCUAGUUGGUGAGGUAAAGGCUCACCAAGGCGACGAUCAGUAGCGGGUCUGAGAGGAUGAUCCGCCACACUGGGACUGAGACACGGCCCAGACUCGUACGGGAGGUAGCAGUGGGGAAUUUUGGACAAUGCGCGCAAGCCUGUUCCAGCCAUGCCGAGUGUGUGAAGAAGGCCUUUUGGUUGUAAAGCACUUUAAGCGAGGAGGAGGCUACCUGGAUUAAUACUCUAGGAUAGUGGACGUUACUCGCAGAAUAAGCACCGGCUAACUCUGUGCUAGCAGCCGCAGUAACAC